AUAUGGUUCUUAUUCCAUAUGACUAGGAAUCUUUUGGUAUAGAUCCAUAGCUUGGAGGAGGAUUUGGGCUAGGAGUGAUGAUCUCAAUGGAUCUUUACUCUUGGUGUUUUACACGACCAUAGAAUGGUUUAGGACCCGGUAUCUCAUGGGCUGCAGAAAUAGGCCCAAUUGGCCAGGGUGUGCAAGGUCGCGGAAAUAAUCUGAUAGUCCCUUCUCCUUCGACAGUCCUCUUUGAAAUCCCAUUUCAGUAGCCCUAGACUCCGACGAUCCUACACCUUCAAAUUAAGUAGCAGAUUGCAUAUUCAUGUGGUGAUCACUCUUCACAAAAUCGUCAUUGUCGCUCCUCUGUUACCUUUAGGAGGAGUGGAAAGAGAGGCAUAAGGAAACUUCGGAAGAUAUAUCUUCUAAAUUCUUCAAUUCGCGAUUUGUCCCACUUGAGGGAGGAAAAAUCCAGGACUUGCUUUUCCAAAUACUUGAACAAGAAGAGGAUGUCAUGAUAAAACAAGGUGCACAAUCUAGAGAGAGUCGACUAAUGGCUUCUAGUGGUUUAAUGAUCACCUGGAUUUCAUCCAAAGAGCAUGUUUAAAUCUUUUUUGACUGAUUAAGGAAUGGACAAUGCCUUCAGUACCAGCUGGAUGGAAUGGACAUACCAAUCAGGAGAAGAUGCAUCAUCUUGCAACAGGAAAGUGAUUGGAGCCAGGUAUUAUUUGAGUGGCUAUGAAGCUGAAGAAGAUCUGAUAAUGUCUGUGUCAUUCAAAUCCCCUAGGGACAGUUCUGGUCAUGGCAGCCACACAGCCCCAACAGCUGCAGGCCGGUAUGCGACAAACAUGAAUUAUAAGGGCUUGGCAGCUGGAGGUGCUAGAGAAGGUGCUCCAAUGGCAAGGAUUGCAGUGUACAAGACUUGUUGGGACUCAGGGAGAUUAUUUUAAUGAUGCCAUCUCCUUGGGGUCAUUGCAUGCUGCUAGCCAUGGGGUAGUGGUAGUUGCUUCAGUUGGAAAUGAAGGAAAUUAAGGUUCAGCAACAAACCUUGCUCCAUGGAUGAACACUGUUGCUGCUAGUUCAACAGAUAGGGAUUUUAUAUCUGAUAUCGUAUUAGGAGAUGGUGCUAAUUUCAAUGGUGAAAGUCUGAGUCUGUUUGAAAUGAAUGCCUCCACAAGCAUCAUCUCUGCUUCAGAAGCCUAUGCAGGAUACUUCACUCCCUAUCAAUCCAGCUACUGUUUGGAGACUUCCUUGAAUAAUACUAAAGCCAGACGGAAGAUUUUGGUAUGCCAACAUGCUGAAAGUUCAACAGAUUCCAAGCUGGCAAAGAGUGCAGUAGUCAGAGAAGCUGGUGGAGUUGGAAGGAGCAUGGGGACAGGAUUCUAUCCUAUAUUAAUCAUACAAGGUUUUUUUCUACUCUUUGACGAUGAAGAUUCGGUGUGAGAUAAUUGAAUCACUUUGUGUUUCUCAUUUAAGGCUAUUCCAUUUACAUGAAUAGCAAACCGGUUUCUAGAAUUUUCCCUGCAAAAACUGUAUUGGGAUCUCAUCCUCCUGCCCCUCGAGUUGCAGCAUUUUCUUCAAAAGGUCCCAAUGCCUUAAUCCCAGAAAUUUGGAAGCCUAGUCUCCAGCAAUUGAGAAAAUGCAUUUCAAUAUUCUCCUCUGGAACUUCUAUGGCUUGUCCGCAUGUAACAGGAAUUGUGGCCUUGGUCAAAGCCACCAGCUUUGUAUAUAAUGUCUUGCAUUAAGGAAGCACUCACCAGUGAUUUACUUACUAUUAAAUAUAAGGACCUAAAAUCCAUGGUAACCUUGUGACAAAA